rnacentral:rRNA from 1 species
GUGGGGAAUCUUGCGCAAUGGGCGAAAGCCUGACGCAGCAACGCCGCGUGCGGGAUGAAGGCCUUCGGGUUGUAAACCGCUUUCAGCAGGGACGAAAAUGACGGUACCUGCAGAAGAAGCUCCGGCUAACUACGUGCCAGCAGCCGCGGUAAUACGUAGGGAGCAAGCGUUGUCCGGAUUUAUUGGGCGUAAAGAGCUCGUAGGCGGUUUCGUAAGUCGAGUGUGAAAAAUCUGGGCUUAACCCAGUGGAGCACUCGAUAAUGCGAUGACUUGAGUCUGGUAGAGGAGUGUGGAAUUCCUGGUGUAGCGGUGAAAUGCGCAGAUAUCAGGAGGAACACCAACGGCGAAGGCAGCACUCUGGGCCAGUACUGACGCUGAGGAGCGAAAGCGUGGGGAGCAAACAGGAUUAGAUACCCGGGUAGUCC